CUCCCAUUUCCGGAAGCCUGGCGCAAGGUUGGUCUGCAGGUGGCCUCCAGGUGCAAAGUGGGAAGUGUGAGUCCUCAGUCUUGGGCUAUUCGGCCACGUGCCUGCCGGACAUGGGACGCUGGAGGGUCAGCAGCGUGGAGUCCUGGCCUUUUGCGUCCACGGGUGGGAAAUUGGCCAUUGCCACGGCGGGAACUGGGACUCAGGCUGCCCCCCGGCCGUUUCUCAUCCGUCCACCGGACUCGUGGGCGCUCGCACUGGCGCUGAUGUAGUUUCCUGACCUCUGACCCGUAUUGUCUCCAGAUUAAAGGUACGACAUUUGGAGGCCCCAGCGAGAAACGUCACCGGGAGAAACGUCACCGGGCGAGAGCCGGGCCCGCUGUGUGCUCCCCCGGAAGGACAGCCAGCUUGUAGGGGGGAGUGCCACCUGAAAAAAAAAUUUCCAGGUCCCCAAAGGGUGACCGUCUUCCGGAGGACAGCGGAUCGACUACCAUGUGGGUGCCCACAAAAAUUCCACCUCUGAGUCCUCAACUGCUGACCCCGGGGUCAGGUCCAGAUUUUGAACAAAUCUCGCUAGAGAUUGAACAGAGCUGCGCCUGGAUCCCGCCACAGUGAGGAGACCUGAAGACCAGAGAAAACACAGCAAACGGAGUCUUGCUCUGUUGUCCA
rnacentral:lncRNA from 10 species